rnacentral:tRNA from 2 species
GCCCGAAUGGCGGAACUGGUAGACGCAAGGGACUUAAAAUCCCUCGGUCUUAUGGCUGUGCGAGUUCGAUUCUCGCUUCGGGCACCA